AUUGAACGCUGGCGGCAGGCCUAACACAUGCAAGUCGAGCGGAUGAGUGGAGCUUGCUCCAUGAUUCAGCGGCGGACGGGUGAGUAAUGCCUAGGAAUCUGCCUGGUAGUGGGGGACAACGUUUCGAAAGGAACGCUAAUACCGCAUACGUCCUACGGGAGAAAGUGGGGGAUCUUCGGACCUCACGCUAUCAGAUGAGCCUAGGUCGGAUUAGCUAGUUGGUGAGGUAAAGGCUCACCAAGGCGACGAUCCGUAACUGGUCUGAGAGGAUGAUCAGGCACACUGGAACUGAGACACGGUCCAGACUCCUACGGGAGGCAGCAGUGGGGAAUAUUGGACAAUGGGCGAAAGCCUGAUCCAGCCAUGCCGCGUGUGUGAAGAAGGUCUUCGGAUUGUAAAGCACUUUAAGUUGGGAGGAAGGGCAGUAAGUUAAUACCUUGCUGUCUUGACGUUACCAACAGAAUAAGCACCGGCUAACUUCGUGCCAGCAGCCGCAGUAAAAC
rnacentral:rRNA from 1 species